AUUGUUCCAAAGCAACAUUCCCCCCCAUGAACAACUCAGGGACCCCCUCGAUCCACAGCGUGAGGCCCACCAGCAGAGGAAGAGGAGUUUCCAGUCCUGACUCCCACCAGGUGCAGGGGAGCCGAGCUCCUCUUUGGGUGGAUUAAAACAGACUUGGACGGAGUCUGGAAAAACAAACUCUUUUAAAACAAGACAAAGAUUGAGUCUGGCCAACUGGCUAUUUUCAAUCCUUGCUGAAUGGAGUCAAGGCAGUUGGUAGUAACAGCUUGUGGCCAUCCGCAAUCGUCCUCCCCGCACGAGAGGGUGGAGCCUCCUCCAAGUGACCAGAGCCGGUGACUUCGGGAAUCAACCCUCCCAAAACAGUGCAUGGCCUAGUGAGUCUUUCCAGACUGCAGAGGGGCAUUUGAGUGUGGAACAUGAGUGCUGGGCGCCUGGAGGAAUCCAGGUGAGCCCCCCAUCCUGCGGAUCCUCACAGAUGGGAAGUACGAGGAGGACUCGCCAGGCCACACCCUCACGCACUCUUGAUCCUUUAAGGAUUCCCCAAAGCUCGCUGGAUGCGUAUCCCUUGCUCAGCAGUCCACAUCAUCCGUAUCUCUCAUACCACAGCCGCAGGCUGCCCAGCCAGGUACCUUGGUGCCCAGCUGUCUCCACACCCUACAGCCUACCUGGUACUGCUCCUGGAUUAUUUCUGGGUGUCAGCCCUGUCUUCCCAGGAAUAGCAGGGGUCCUGAAAACAGAGGCAGCCCCAGAGCCUCCACCUCUCCCAACACCACACAGGAUGCUCCAUAACACCCAACCUAGUUCCAAAGAGAUUGUGAGCGGCAGCCGGGUUCAGAGUAAUCACUGCAUAACCCAGAAACAUUCAUUAAGCACCUACUGUGUGCUGGGCUAUCCACUAGGCAUUAGGAGAUACAAGACAUAGGGUUGCUGCCCUCAUGGGCGUCUCACUCAGGUCAGGGAGCAGCCAAAUAAUUGCAAUCACAACAGUGCACUAUGAGUGCUGUGACCCGGGGCAGAUCCAGCCCCCACUGAGGCAGGGGCCACCAGGAACACUGUGCCAGAGAAUUCCGAGACCAGAGGCCUUAGGCCAAAUGGCAGCAUGGCAUGGUCUGGAUGGCAGGCUUCAGAGAGUGGUGGAAAGACUGAGGGGAGGGCAGAGUGAGAGGGAGGGAGAAUAGUGUCUCCCACAAAUACAGUCCACUUUCUCUGAACCUGAAGACUCGCUUAGAACCUCAUGAUCCAGGAAUCCAUCUGGAGAUGGUGGAAGUCAUGUUUUCCCUGAGAGUCCUUCCGCCUGUUGACUGAGCCACUGGGGGCUGGCUGGACUGCUCCCCCCAUGUAGCAAAGGAGAGGCGGCUGCUGCCCACUGAAAAGCAGGUGCGCUCAGCAUCCCUCCUUCACACCCUUAGGGCCUGGCGGCAGGAGGUGGAACGAGAUGCAGACUUCAGCCCCAAGUCUGGCUUACUUCAGGAUCCCACAGGGCUCUCUCACCUCAGGGCAGUGUGGGACCCCAGGACACACCUUGUUUGCAGGCCUCACCUAGAUCGUGGUAACAGCCAGAACUCAACAAUUUAUCCAAGUCAGCCUCCCUGCGGCCCGGAGUGGGGACUGAGACCAACAUGCACCCUCAUCUGCAGGCAGGCAGGGACACACCAAGUCCAGAGUGAGUGCUCAGUGCACAUCAGGCCUUAAGAAGGGGGGUGGAAAUGCAAAGCACCUAGCCAGCUGUGCCGCUCUGUGCAGCUCUGGGAGGAAGCUGGCAUGUGCUGAUGCACUUAGCGCCGUUGCACCCUCCUGGUGCUGCAGCUCAUUUGAAUAAAGCCCAGAUUAGCAUGUGGUGCAGAGGUCUGCAUAUUUCAACAAACUGCUGCCUUGUCAGAUGUCACCUCGAGGGACGGGCUGAUGGAGUCCCUGGCAAACCCAGGACUGGCCGUGGAGUGGGGACGCAGCCUGAACUGCCCCCAAGCCAGUGGCAUUGGCUUGCCCUGUGCAGCCUCCUCCCAUAGAGGGGGCAGAUAAUACGGGGGGAGGAUGCCCCCCAGGUCCACAGCUCUGCAGAGGGCCUGGACCCCACUCUGCCAGUGUGGCGGGCAUCGGAGCUGGGUGGGGCUCUGUGAAGUUAGGGUCAUGGAGAUGGUAUAUAAAGCAUGGGACCUGAAGGGAAGACCCCACCCCAGGGUGCACACCCCAGACACCAUGACACACCCCGGCUGACAGGUCUGGCCAACGGAGCACUUGGGAGCAGGUGUUCUCUGCAGCCCACCCUGCUGUCCUGCUGAGCACCCAGGUACCCAUGGCACUGGCACAUGACCAAGGACAGACAUCCAUGGUGUGGGUCGCCUGGAGCUCCCCAGGCCCCUAGGAGCUCCUUGGCUUAUCAGAGACCAACUCCAGCCCUGAAAGCCCUCAUUUUCUGGGGUCUUCUGGAGCCCCCCAAGGGGAUCACCCAUGCCUCUCCAGGUAGAGAAUGAGGCUUAAAUGGAGGGGAAUCCUGGAAGCCCGGACGCCCCGCCUGGAGGGAAGCUGCCUGCUAGGGCAGACACCUCGCCUGUCCGGAGCCUAACUGAAUGCCACAGGUCCCAGAGGUCCUCAGCCUGGAGCAGCCUCUACACUGAGCAGGCCUGGAGUCAGGGGGCUCUGCCCGAGCAGGGACACAGUCCCCCAGGAAGUUGAGAACACAGCAGGCCAGAGCGGGGAGGCCUCCAGUGAGGUCCAGCCAUCUCCACUGCAGCAAGGAUAAUAUCUCCUCUCCAGGCUGCAGUCAGCAGCGGGCCCGGGGUGUCCUGCUCUGUCACGGGGGGAGGGUUCCAUGAGCAGCAGCGAGGGUCCCCCCAUAGGAGGUUGCCCCCACCCCGCCAAGGCCAGACCAGCAGGGAGGCUCUCCUUGGAGGCAAGGCCCCCACCUCCUGCUCUUCCUGGGUGACAUUUCCUCCAGAGAGUAGCCGGAAAGGUCACCUCCCCUCCACUCGGGCCUGCUUCAUUGCCGUGAUUACACUUUACGAUCCUUUUAUGAA
rnacentral:sRNA from 1 species